ACGGCGGGGGAGCAGGCAAGUCUCGUUUCCUUCCCAAUCCUUGUCUCCAUCACUCUCCCCCGAUUCGGCCGCCGACCUCGCCGCUCCUCUAUCCCACCGCCGCCCGCCGCCUUCUCCUCCCUCCCAUCACCUUCUCUACGCCGGCAGGGGCUUCCACCUGUGGAUUGGGGAUCUGCACCGGCGAUGGGCUCCUCCUUCGCCCACGGCAGCGGCUCCGCCUUGCAGGGCCGGGGCGGGAGCGGGAGCGGGCCGUGCUUUGACCUGGCUCGUCAGCUCUGGCGUGGAGGAGGACCUCUUGUGCGCGGUGGCGGCUGGAGGAGGAGUUGGAUUCGCCAGCAACCGCGACAGAAUCAUCUCAGUAGUCCUUGAUUUUUCUCUACACAAUUGAAUUCCAGUUGCCUGGUGGUCAUUGUGUGCGCAAUUCUCUUAAAUACUCCCUCCAUUCCAAAAUAGAGAACGGAGGGAGUAUUUUGUAUCACUUAUACGUCUAUACUUCAAGAUAGGUAUGGACAUUGAGUAAUUUCAGCCAACUUGCCGUAUGGUAAUUGCAGGUUGAUUCCUCUUCAGAUUUUGCUUUAGUAUGUUUUUUUACUGAUUUCUCGAUGAUCCCCACAAUCACAAAAUCUGGUCAUUUCCAGGUUUAGCAUAACAGAUUCCUCGAUCUAGCAUUUCUUUUGAUAUAGGAGGUUAUUUUUUACUAAUUGGAGGUUUCAGGCCUCCAUGUUAAUUCUAAGAGGGAAAAGUCUGUUGCAAUAUUUGAUCUUCAGAUCUAUCCAUGAUGAAUUUUCUGCCAGAACCCACUUACGGUUGAUUAUGGUGGUGGAAUGUUGACAAGCUGUGUCUGUCUACCUAUCAUUCUAUUAAUUGUUCAGUUUAAGCACUUUUGGCAGAAGGCUGGACUUUGGGCAUCGGCCAAAUCAUCCUGAGUACUUCUUGAGUUUUUUCUCUCAGCUGCGGAUUGUAAUUUAUUUGGUAAGCUUUGGCACAUCUUCUUCGCAGCAUGCUCGGUCUCUUUGUGGACGGGUUGGAACGCUAGAGUGUUUGACAACUGUUUUUGGUCUGCGGCUCGAAUGCUUGCUGAGUUGGCCGAACUCAUGACACUCUGGAGCUCGCGUGCUGUCAGAGAGGAAGACAGACAUACUAUGCUGUCUUGGGCAAAUUCACUGAGAUAGUUGUUGAUCACCAAACCUUAUUUCUUUCUCUCUUUCUUUUGCCUUUCGCCUUUCGCCUUUGUAAAGCAUCCUGUUCAGCGGUCUGGUGAUAACCGGUCACACUGUUUUAUGUGGCGCUAAUAUCACCUUCAUGUAAUUGACUCCGGUCACCCAGGCUCACGCCUGCUUUGAAUGCAUAAGGUAGAAAGUGAUAAUACCUUUUUAUUCAAAAAAAGAAGAGUUUGGAUGUGGAGAGCCCGCAGAUGUAGAAAAUAAGGUCGUUAUGGCCUCAAGGAGGCAUACUACGGAUGUGGUAAUUAACUAACAAAGUUUCAGUUUAGCUUUCUCUCUUUCCAAUUUUUUGGAAGCACAAUCAAAACUUGAAUUUUUACUUGCAAUUCUUAAGUCUUACCUAUUAAACAUGUUUCUGUUUCUUAUGCCUAAAAGUAGGUGGAUCUAAUGUGGUAAUUAUUUGCCAAAUUUCAGAGCUGUCUUUCUUUCCAAAAUUUUGAAUUGUUAUCUGCGAUGCUUACUUUUUUGUACUAUUAAUCAUGUACCUGAUUCUUAUAUAUUUUCAUGCAGCUGCAGAAGACGGAUGCGAAGAUGUCGAGCAUGUGGCCCUGCACACAAGAGAAUACAGUUCUUUCAAUGCUGCACCUGCUUCCUCUUCCUCUGCUUCGAAUCGGUCUUUCGUAGGUACGAACCAUGAUCUUUAAGCUCAUGCAUGUUCACUGUUUUCUGCAAAAUUCACGAAUAAGUAAAACCUAUAUGGCGGAUCGGACAUUCUGUUUCCACUUCUCUACAUCAUGCUGCCCACCGGCAUGGAUAUUCACCUCCACCAAUUUGAUUGAUCCUAUGUUCUACUUCAGUUUAUCAGCUAAGUUUAUACACUGUCCCGAAAGGCCUAAGCCCAAAUCGCAUGUUAAUUCCCUGGGCAAUUUUUUCUUCCAAAAUAUGUCCUGUCGUAUUUAAACGAACAGAUCCUUCUAAUACAGCACUAUACAUUGGCAGAGAGAUAAUAUAAUACUGGUCUCAGUCAGAUUUUGUUCUUCAUGUUCAUAUAUAAGUUCUCUUAUUAUCUCUUUGUGUACAUAGCAACUUAGUUGGUGGAAUUUAUGUUCCUGCUUUAUGUAGCUAAAUAAAUAUCAGGAACUAUGUUGCAGUGUUUAUUCCUUAGCACUUUUGAUUUACAAAUAAGUUUACUGUUGUACAAUCCUUAUAAUUGAAGUUGGUUGUUCAAGCAGACACAGUGUGCACUGACAGAAGAUGGCAGGAAGAAUGGUGCAAAUUCAACUAUGUAUUUGCCAAAGUUGAUUAUGCUUAACUCUAGGCAUUGCAUUACUAUAUCAUGUUGUACUAUUCUUUGAAGAAUUUGUAGGAGGUACUAGAAAAGUAUGACUUGAUGAGGGAUACCUUAAUUUUAAAAAACAGCCUGAAAGAAUUUAGUUUAGUAAAAUAUUGUAUAGCCUUCUCGUAAAAGUUUGAUACACUUUUCAAGAAAACAAACUUUGGUUAAUCAUUAAGCUAUAACUUUUCUCAUAUUUGAACAACAAGGUUAUUUGAGUUCUGCUAAAAAAAGUGGCAAUGUUAAAAAAAGGUUAUUUUGUGGAACUUUUGCAAACUUUGUGGAAAGAAGCUACAAAUAACUGAUUUCGCUGUCAAAUCUACAGUCCAAUGUUAAUCUAGAGGGUGGAAUCUUCAAACUUCGUUGAUGCUUUCUUGUCCGUUUUGAUCUAAUAUAUGUCUGAUGUGGUUUGUAUAAACUUAUGGUGGUAUAAUUAGUUUUGCUUUUUUUGGGCAGGAUAUAAUAAUGUUGUAGAUAGACGGAGACUGAAUCAUUUCACACUACUUUGAUGUCUAUCGAGCCAAUCGGACAACAAAGGCAGUUCCUUUGCACAAUUUGAAGAAUGUUAUUUCAUAUUGCAUGAUAUUUCUGACUCCUUUCAGUGGGCCUUCAAUUAAUUUGAGGCAUCCUUUCCUAGGAUCUUACCUUGAUAUUCCUCUAUUUUCUCCUAUUCCUCCCAAGCUUUUUUAAGAACUGAAAUAAAUAUAACCAGUGUUACAAAUAUUAGCUGAGGAAAAGUCCUUGCAGAAAAGAAGAACCGGAAGCAAGUUUUCUAUCUUCACGAGCAAGUCGGUGUCUGUAAAGCUUCGCCGGAGCCAUUCCAGCUCUUUCAGAGCCACAAGGUGAUCCGGAAGUCAGUGCAAGGAAGCUGAGGAACCAGGACGCCAACGGUGCGGAGCAGUUUGCCAUCGAGAGGACUAGGCCAAGCUCAACAUCUCCCUCGUGCCUCCAUCAACACCGUGUCCCGCAGGGUCGUCACCGUCCGCGACGACAAGCUACUGUCGUAACUUUGUCAGCCGCACGGUUAGAGGGAGGCAUCAAGGGCCGGCCACCGCUGCCGGGGCCGACGUGCGUGCAAUUUCUAUUAAUGUAUCUCUUGUCGAUGUAUAUCGUUGUGGGCGUGGCAUUUCAGUUUCUUCCUCAGGUGAUGUUCCAAUAUAACAAGUUCCAUCAAGAAUUGCAUGUAUAUCUA